GUGGGGAAUUUUGGACAAUGGGGGAAACCCUGAUCCAGCCAUGCCGCGUGUGUGAAGAAGGCCUUCGGGUUGUAAAGCACUUUCGGACGGAACGAAAUCGCAAGGGUGAAUAUCCCUUGUGGAUGACGGUACCGUAAGAAGAAGCACCGGCUAACUACGUGCCAGCAGCCGCGGUAAUACGUAGGGUGCGAGCGUUAAUCGGAAUUACUGGGCGUAAAGCGUGCGCAGGCGGCUUCGCAAGUCAGACGUGAAAUCCCCGGGCUUAACCUGGGAAUGGCGUUUGAAACUACGGAGCUAGAGUGUGGCAGAGGGAGGUAGAAUUCCACGUGUAGCAGUGAAAUGCGUAGAUAUGUGGAGGAAUACCGAUGGCGAAGGCAGCCUCCUGGGCCAACACUGACGCUCAUGCACGAAAGCGUGGGGAGCAAACAGGAUUAGAUACCCUAGUAGUCC
rnacentral:rRNA from 1 species